AUUGAACGCUGGCGGCAUGCCUUACACAUGCAAGUCGAACGGUGACAGGUCUUCGGAUGCUGACGAGUGGCGAACGGGUGAGUAAUACAUCGGAACGUGCCUAGUAGUGGGGGAUAACUACUCGAAAGAGUGGCUAAUACCGCAUGAGCUCUACGGAUGAAAGCAGGGGAUCGCAAGACCUCGAUCUACUAGACCGGCCGAUGGCAGAUUAGGUAGUUGGUGGGAUAAAAGCUUACCAAGCCGACGAUCUGUAGCUGGUCUGAGAGGACGAUCAGCCACACUGGGACUGAGACACGGCCCAGACUCCUACGGGAGGCAGCAGUGGGGAAUUUUGGACAAUGAGCGCAAGCCUGAUCCAGCAAUGCCGCGUGCAGGAUGAAGGCCUUCGGGUUGUAAACUGCUUUUGUACGGAACGAAAAGCCCUGGGUUAAUACCCUGGGGUCAUGACGGUACCGUAAGAAUAAGCACCGGCUAACUACGUGCCAGCCGCCGCCGUAAUAC
rnacentral:rRNA from 1 species